rnacentral:rRNA from 1 species
CCCUUAGAUGUUCUGGGCCGCACGCGCGCUACAAUGAUGAAUUCAACGAGUCUAUAACCUUGGUUGAAAAGCCUGGGUAAUCUUUUGAACUUUCGUCGUGAUGGGGCUAGACCCUUGCAAUUAUUGGUCUCCAACGAGGAAUUCCUAGUAAACGCAAGUCAUCAGCUUGCAUUGAUUACGUCCCUGCCCUUUGUACACACCGCCCGUCGCACCUACCGAUUGAAUGGUCCGGUGAAAUCUUCGGAUUGAGACUUUGAUUUCUUCACGGAAAACGCUGUUUUAAGAAGUUGAUUAAACCUUACCAUUUAGAGGAAGGUGAAGUCGUAACA